CCCCACGAUUCCCAUUCCGUUGGGAGGGAAAUACUACAUAAAUAACGAUGCCAGACAGACCAGAUAUUUAGCGAGGGUAUCUGUGUAUCUGUGCGCGUGGAUGGCAAUGCAAUAAGAUGCAAACUUGUUAAACAUCCCACAACACAGAUCCCCCCACAACAAACAACCGACAACAACGGAUGCAAUCUGCCCCACAAGCCUACGACUGCUUCCGUUCUGGUCUGGCCACACACUGGGAGAAAUUCAGCGAACUGAAUAAGCAGUCAAAGGAACCAGGAAAGAUAUUCGGUGGAUGGUGUGAUGCCAGCUCCUUCGAGAUUCUCCGCCCUUGAGAUAUUUCAAUCAUCAACCUGUUUGGAGUUUCCAUAAAGAACAUUACUCAUAAGGCCCCCCCCACCACAAAACGGAUGCCCCAAGGCUCAGGCCAGGCGGUGUCCUGUCUGGAAAUAUGAGGAAAAGGCAGCAGGAGAGGCAGCGGGGACAGGCAGCAGCAGGAGAAGGAGGCAUUAGAGAGAGUGAAGAAAAUACAAAUGCAUUGCACUUGAUUGACGGGAGAGGAGAGAGAAGAGCAAAAGAUUGACAGACUGGCGGACUGACCGACUGACGGACUGACGGACUUACUCAGUGACAAAACCCCGACUGGUGGCGCCACAAUAAAUUGCCAAUUAAAAGGCACUGGGAAAAUAGGGGGGGAAAAUGCAAAAAAAUAUACAACGAAAGUCAACAAAAGUGGGGGAUGAUGAUGAUCAUGAAAGUGGAUGAUAAUGAUGAUGAAGGAAGGAAGGCCACACCCAAGUGGAAAAGUUUAUCCAGGUCGCAAGCCAAUGACCAGUCUGCCGCUGAACCCGUGGCCAAAACGAGUUCCAUGCACGCACCAUCCAGAUGGGUAGCAGGGGAGGGAAGUGGCGACACGGGACUGGGGACUCUUAUACUUGUCUAUCUCCUCCAUAAAGAAAGGAAAAUUAAAUACAAAAAAAAGCAAUAUGGAAAUAAUUGGCAGGCGGAAGGCGUCAGGCGGCAGAGAAGUGAUUGCGGAAUAAAAAUUUGAGCCGAAGGCUAUGGAUGACUCACAAUCGCCUCCAGAUAUGCAAAUGUUCAGA